AGCCACACCCAUUGGUCACCGCCCCGCACAAACCCUACCCUUUCCAGCGCUCCCAAAUCGAUGCAGCCGCCUCCCCUCUCCCUCCCUUCCUCCCCAAACGCGCCGACCGCCUCCUCUCCACCUGCCGCCUCCCCUCUCCCUCCCUUCCUCCCCAAACGCGCUGGCCGCCUCCUCUCCACCUGCCAUACCGUGUCCCUGCUGGAGGUGGGAGGAUACCCGGGGGAGCAGAGGAGGGGGUUGGAUGAGGGGUUAGGAGGUGCGAGGCGAGCAGGAGGUGGGGUCGCCGGAGGAGCACAGCCGCCAGAGCAGAGCAGAGGAGUUCGAUGCAGGGGCGCAAUGGGAUGGUCAGAGAGCGCGCGGUAUCCUGCGAUACAUAUCCGCUCCCAAGCAGAGGAUGCAUCAGCGCUCGCUCCUCCUCUCCCCCACGCCACCGCUUUCCUGCGUCGUCGCUGCCGCCACAGCCUUGCUUGCCAUCGACCUCCCGGAGUACUUCUCUCCACUGCAUUCCCCUUUGCACGAGUUCUUGCCUUCAAAGCUAAGAUGAAAUGGCUCUUCUCAUAUUUGCCUAUAAACUGUUUGAUGAAAUGCUUGUGUCGUAACGAGUUCUUUUUCUUCAGUUUGUUCUUCCUGCUGCUAAGUAUUAGUCCUCUUCUUGAUCUUGCCUGAUUUUCUCGUCGGUCUUGCAUUUCAAGCCAGGGGCUGUGACUCUAUGAGGAUGUUGUUUAGUGUGAACUGCAACUUUUUUUGGUUGGUAGAGUUCCUCGAGCAUUGCUUAACUUGAAUGAUAAACUACUGAGCAAGUUGGCCUGAGAGCAGAGAGGUUAGAGCUCCAGAUGGUUCUUGGUUGCAAUGGGGGGAGAUGCAGGGGAGGGUGAGGAGGCUAACGAUAGGGUGAAGUAGCCCGGCGAUGAGUGCAAGCAGCAUGAGGCAUUGUAUGGGAUGGAUUUAUCAUGCUGGGAUUAGCUGUAGACUUCCUUGCUGAACCCUACAGGGAGCAAUGCAUCCCCAGUUUGCUUCCAGAGAAGGAAGGGGAAGAGUUACAAUUACAACAUGGGGCUUCAAGUGUCUAUUACUGUGGAUCACCAAUAUUUUGUUAUAUCCGUGCAUUUUAGUUACGACUAAGUGCCACACCAAUGAAUGUGAAUGUCUGUUCAGGGUUUUCUUGUUGCUGCUAUUCCUCGUGGAUAUUCAAUAUGCAACUUGGCACCUAAUGUCAGCAACGUGCUUAUCGGUGACGAGGGAAAUGAAAGAAGGCUGCAAUGGAAUUUGUACUAGAUCAGAUUUUGGCCAUAUAAUUUCCGGUGACUAGAAGUCUAAAACUGAGGAUAGGGCAGAUUGUUUUGAUUCCGAUUACUUGGAGAUCUUGUGGCUUCCUGUCCCUGGAUCAGUCAGACCUACGGCAGCAUCAACUCGUUGAUCCUAGAGGCCAUGGUUCUCGAGGUGAGUUGAGUUGCUGCUUGGUUGGAGAUGUUGAUGUCGUUCGAGACGCCCGCUGGGUUCACCCUUUUCAAGGUUCUGAAUAAGGGCAAGCUCGACAAGGUCGAGUGGUACAGGUACGAUCUUCAUGGAGCUAGCCAUCAUUGGAUUUGGUAAUACAUAAUCACUUAUUCAAAGAGCCCAAGGUGAGAAGGGACGAGCAUCUAGAACACCGCCACCUACUAAUCAGAGUUUCCUACCUUUCUUCUACAAAUCUGGAAUGCCUUUAUGGCAUGAUCAUGUGAAAAAGUACCUUGAUGCAGUAAUGGAUUUGAUUAUCACUGGUUACUCUGUUUUCACGAAUUACUAUCCAACUAGCAUGGAAGAACCAAAAGGUAGUUGAUCAGCAGGAUGGCAAGAGGAAGACAAGAACCAAAUUAAAGUUUGUUGCUGUGCAUGUCUGUAUCUAUCAAGAUUCAGUGCUAUGUAGAAAUGUCCCUGAGAUUUGUUUCACUCAACGAGACCAAACAAUCAGGAACACAAGUAGGAUAGUUGAUGCUUUUUUCAUUUUUCUUCUGAUAAAAAGGAAUCUUCAUCUGCCAAGAAUACGGCCUACAAGCAUGUAUGCCUAAUUACCUAUAUGCUGAUUUAACAAGCUCACAUACAUGUCCAUUUCUAAAAAUAGUUUACCCAUCCUCAAACAUAUAACUUAUGUGUUGUUGCUUUCCAUUAUAUUGAGAAAAACAUAAGUUUCAUUGGGAUAAA